GUCGAGCGGACAGAAGGGAGCUUGCUCCCGGAUGUUAGCGGCGGACGGGUGAGUAACACGUGGGUAACCUGCCUGUAAGACUGGGAUAACUCCGGGAAACCGGAGCUAAUACCGGAUAGUUCCUUGAACCGCAUGGUUCAAGGAUGAAAGACGGUUUCGGCUGUCACUUACAGAUGGACCCGCGGCGCAUUAGCUAGUUGGUGAGGUAACGGCUCACCAAGGCGACGAUGCGUAGCCGACCUGAGAGGGUGAUCGGCCACACUGGGACUGAGACACGGCCCAGACUCCUACGGGAGGCAGCAGUAGGGAAUCUUCCGCAAUGGACGAAAGUCUGACGGAGCAACGCCGCGUGAGUGAUGAAGGUUUUCGGAUCGUAAAGCUCUGUUGUUAGGGAAGAACAAGUGCAAGAGUAACUGCUUGCACCUUGACGGUACCUAACCAGAAAGCCACGGCUAACUACGUGCCAGCAGCCGCGGUAAUACGUAGGUGGCAAGCGUUGUCCGGAAUUAUUGGGCGUAAAGGGCUCGCAGGCGGUUUCUUAAGUCUGAUGUGAAAGCCCCCGGCUCAACCGGGGAGGGUCAUUGGAAACUGGGAAACUUGAGUGCAGAAGAGGAGAGUGGAAUUCCACGUGUAGCGGUGAAAUGCGUAGAGAUGUGGAGGAACACCAGUGGCGAAGGCGACUCUCUGGUCUGUAACUGACGCUGAGGAGCGAAAGCGUGGGGAGCGAACAGGAUUAGAUACCCUGGUAGUCCACGCCGUAAACGAUGAGUGCUAAGUGUUAGGGGGUUUCCGCCCCUUAGUGCUGCAGCUAACGCAUUAAGCACUCCGCCUGGGGAGUACGGUCGCAAGACUGAAACUCAAAGGAAUUGACGGGGGCCCGCACAAGCGGUGGAGCAUGUGGGUUAAAUUCGAAGCAACGCGAAGAACCUUACCAGUCUUGACAUCCUCUGACAACCCUAGAGAUAGGGCUUUCC
rnacentral:rRNA from 1 species